CCAUAAGGGAAGGCGCCUGCGUAAGCGCUUGGAGGACAGCUUCUCAGGACGAUUGCUUGCUGAGGAACCCUGGACUGAACACUUGCACGGAGAAAUGAAUUUAUACUGAAGAUUGGAGAUCAUCACUACUGGUUCUCUGCUGCUCCUGGUUAAUUACUUAAUGCUUCCUAAUCACUUGCUAAAGAACCUAGCAGCCGGAUAGUUUAAAGAAUAGCAGAAGAUUGCAUCUCAGAGGUACGGGUGUAAGACUUGACGGGCAGCCGUUUCCUGUUAGCGUCUUGAAAAUAUCACACUGCUGCUCUCUGGCUACUGCUCUGGCUGCUCAGAAAUCAAGUCAAGGUCCAAGCUACACUUGCUACAAAGCUGAGGAAAUGAAAGCCAGCCUGCCUAGAGCCCCCUGGACUGUUCUCUUGCUUUGCCUGUGCCCUGAUGACUGGACACAGGCUUGGAUUCUGCCAAGAAUGAACCAUAAACCCUCUUCCUUAAGCCACAGAAGGAAAUAUGGGACCAGCAGCAUGGGGGUGGGGGCUGUCUUCCCACCCAGACAGAAGGAAACAGAAAUGAAUCUCUCCUUUCUACUAUCUACAGGGUGGAUGUCAAGAAAUUCAUUUUAUCUCAAAUAGGAAGUCUCCCUUCCUUUUUUGAAAAUAGGUCCUAUUCUAGAUAGAAACCUCUCAGAUUUGCUUGUUCAUAUUCUAUUAAUAGUUAUACAGAAUUCAUAAAUAUAUUACUGCUAUUUUGCCCAUCUGACGGAUGGAAUAUUGACAGGAUGUGAUUUAUGUGCUCGGAAUGGCACAGCUGGAGGAUUCUUUGGCUGUAAUUACUUAGGGUUUUAUUGCUCUCUGUGCAAAUGGAAAGUGUGCAAAUGUUAAAGCGCCAAUUGUUCCCAAUUACUUGAAAUAUUGUCUGUAAAUAUCUAACCCCUUUCUGCAUUAUUAGCCAAAUUGAAUGGAAAAUUAUCAGGUUAGUGUACAGUAUCUUAAAGUGAACAACUGGGUCUUUAAAAUUGCUCAGUAAUUAAGUGGUUGAAACAGGAUCAUCAGAAAUGAUAUCUGAAUUCAGUUAGGAUGGUAUGUGCCACAUCUCUGAUGCCCAGCAGAAUGUUAAAUACCAAAAUAAAUAGAUGAGGAGCCACAUAGGAAAUACAAAUGACUUUUUAUGAAUAACAGCUUAUUGUCAUAACAAGGUAUGCAAAGUGUACUUGACAGAUACAAAUAGCAAAAGAAAAAGCUCAAAGCAAAACUCUUUUUUACCAACUUUCUCUCUUGACCAAACCAAACAAAACAAAACAAAAAAACCUAGGAAAAAGAAAAUUUACAAAUAAAACAAAAUUAGAAGUUUUCUCUACCUACUAGUCUGUGCCCUUCCAAUGGACCUCCCCCACCAAAAAAAAUUAAUGUGCA